AAACUAACAAGGAUUCCCCUAGUAACGGCGAGUGAAGCGGGAUGAGCUCAAAUUUAAAAUCUGGCGGUCUCAGAUCGUCCGAGUUGUAGUCUAGAGAAGCGUUUUCCGUGCUGGCCUGUGUACAAGUCCGUUGGAACACGGCGUCAUAGAGGGUGAGAAUCCCGUCCUUGACACAGAUCUCCAGUGCUUUGUGAUGCGCUCUCAAAGAGUCGAGUUGUUUGGGAAUGCAGCUCAAAAUGGGUGGUAAAUUCCAUCUAAAGCUAAAUAUUGGCGAGAAACCGAUAGCGAACAAGUACCGUGAGGGAAAGAUGAAAAGCACUUUGGAAAGAGAGUUAAACAGUACGUGAAAUUGUUGAAAGGGAAACGAUUGAAGUCAGUCAUGCUUUCCGAGACUCAGCCGGUUCUGCCGGUGUACUUCUCGGUUUGCAGGCCAGCAUCAGUUUUGGGCGGUGGAAAAGGUUGGCGGGAAUGUGGCAUCCUCGGAUGUGUUAUAGCCCGCUUUCGAAUACAUCGCCCGGGACUGAGGAACGCAGCACGCCUCUUGUAGGUCGGUCUUCGGACACGUCCGUGCUA
rnacentral:rRNA from 1 species